CUUGUUUAAGAACAAUUAACCGAAUUACAAGAAUGACUUAUAAAUUUAUAAGGUCAGAGCAACAACUAGUUCUAUAGAAACUCCUAAAUACUCAACCGUGAUAACAAUUCACUACUCUUGUGAGCAAAAACUCCUCAACAUACACGAUUCAGACAUCGAAAACCGAUAAAGUCACGUUAAAAAGGUUAGAAUCUCGCUCCCACAAAAUCUUUACCUAAAGGCUCAUCUAGAUAGCGUAACAGUCUUCCCAGAUAAAUCCUGCACAGUCACUAAAAAUCCUCUUAACACUUUCUUCUUCACCCAAACCUCAGCAAGUUGACAUGAUGAACUCCCUCCUUCUAGAGCUUCUGGUGAUAUUCUUGACCCUCAUUAUCUUUUUU
rnacentral:lncRNA from 1 species